UCACUUUUUCUUAUUUCCAAUAAUUACCUCUCUUGCCAUUGUAAUUGGCCAAAUUUAGUUGUAUAUUCCAUGAUUAAUUCAUUUGGAGCUAUUUCAUUCCUUGGCCUAUGCUCAAUCUACUCCACAAAGUCACCUUGGUCAUUCUUUCUGAAUCUUCUUCAAAAAAUUCAUCUUUCAAGAGUUCCUCAAAUUUCUUCCAUGAUAUAGCCUCUGCAUGUAAAUCUUGCAUUCUUUUCCUAAUUUCUGGUAUCACUGCUAAAUCAAAGGUAGUGAUCAUCUUUAUUC
rnacentral:lncRNA from 1 species